GCGUUACUAUUCAAUGCUCCAGGAGACGAGAUGUUCACUUGUAGGCUGGUGAAUCUUCUCCCCUUGUCAAGUCAGGUGAGCAAGUGUGAUGUCAAAGAUUCUUAUUCCUAGACUGAUGCUUGAGUGUUGAGGGCUGCAGGGAUUUUGAAGAAGCUUGUUUGUAUAAGUCGUAGGCAGCAUCACAACGAGUUUAACUUCUGGAACGGGA